rfam:Picea glauca, whole genome shotgun sequence.
ACAUGCUUACAACAUAGCGUUAAUGCGUCAGAUCCCAUUAGAACUUCAUAGUUAAGCACACUGGGGCUAGAGUAGUACUAGGAUGGGUGACCACCCGAGAAGUCUUAGUGUUUUACAUGCC